rnacentral:rRNA from 1 species
CAGUAGCCACGGUAAUACGAAGGGGGCUAGCGUUGCUCGGAAUCACUGGGCGUAAAGGGUGCGUAGGCGGGUUUCUAAGUCAGGGGCGAAAUCCUGGAGCUCAACUCCAGAACUGCCCUUGAUACUGGAAGUCUUGAGUAUGGGAGAGGUGAGUGGAACUGCGAGUGUAGAGGUGAAAUUCGUAGAUAUUCGCAAGAACACCAGUGGCGAAGGCGGCUCACUGGCCCAUAACUGACGCUGAGGCACGAAAGCGUGGGGAGCAAACAGGAUUAGAUACCCCCGUAGUCCCUGUCUCUUAUAC